rnacentral:rRNA from 1 species
UGUGAGCUCGAUGAGUAGGGCGGGACACGUGGUAUCCUGUCUGAAUAUGGGGGGACCAUCCUCCAAGGCUAAAUACUCCUGACUGACCGAUAGUGAACCAGUACCGUGAGGGAAAGGCGAAAAGAACCCCGGCGAGGGGAGUGAAAAAGAACCUGAAACCGUGUACGUACAAGCAGUGGGAGCACGCUUAGGCGUGUGACUGCGUACCUUUUGUAUAAUGGGUCAGCGACUUAUAUUCUGUAGCAAGGUUAACCGAAUAGGGGAGCCGAAGGGAAACCGAGUCUUAACUGGGCGUUAAGUUGCAGGGUAUAGACCCGAAACCCGGUGAUCUAGCCAUGGGCAGGUUGAAGGUUGGGUAACACUAACUGGAGGACCGAACCGACUAAUGUUGAAAAAUUAGCGGAUGACUUGUGGCUGGGGGUGAAAGGCCAAUCAAACCGGGAGAUAGCUGGUUCUCCCCGAAAGCUAUUUAGGUAGCGCCUCGUGAAUUCAUCUCCGGGGGUAGAGCACUGUUUCGGCAAGGGGGUCAUCCCGACUUACCAACCCGAUGCAAACUGCGAAUACCGGAGAAUGUUAUCACGGGAGACACACGGCGGGUGCUAACGUCCGUCGUGAAGAGGGAAACAACCCAGACCGCCAGCUAAGGUCCCAAAGUCAUGGUUAAGUGGGAAACGAUGUGGGAAGGCCCAGACAGCCAGGAUGUUGGCUUAGAAGCAGCCAUCAUUUAAAGAAAGCGUAAUAGCUCACUGGUCGAGUCGGCCUGCGCGGAAGAUGUAACGGGGCUAAACCAUGCACCGAAGCUGCGGCAGCGACGCUGAUGCGUUGUUGGGUAGGGGAGCGUUCUGUAAGCCUGCGAAGGUGUGCUGUGAGGCAUGCUGGAGGUAUCAGAAGUGCGAAUGCUGACAUAAGUAACGAUAAAGCGGGUGAAAAGCCCGCUCGCCGGAAGACCAAGGGUUCCUGUCCAACGUUAAUCGGGGCAGGGUGAGUCGACCCCUAAGGCGAGGCCGAAAGGCGUAGUCGAUGGGAAACAGGUUAAUAUUCCUGUACUUGGUGUUACUGCGAAGGGGGGACGGAGAAGGCUAUGUUGGCCGGGCGACGGUUGUCCCGGUUUAAGCGUGUAGGCUGGUUUUCCAGGCAAAUCCGGAAAAUCAAGGCUGAGGCGUGAUGACGAGGCACUACGGUGCUGAAGCAACAAAUGCCCUGCUUCCAGGAAAAGCCUCUAAGCAUCAGGUAACAUCAAAUCGUACCCCAAACCGACACAGGUGGUCAGGUAGAGAAUACCAAGGCGCUUGAGAGAACUCGGGUGAAGGAACUAGGCAAAAUGGUGCCGUAACUUCGGGAGAAGGCACGCUGAUAUGUAGGUGAAGUCCCUCGCGGAUGGAGCUGAAAUCAGUCGAAGAUACCAGCUGGCUGCAACUGUUUAUUAAAAACACAGCACUGUGCAAACACGAAAGUGGACGUAUACGGUGUGACGCCUGCCCGGUGCCGGAAGGUUAAUUGAUGGGGUCAGCGCAAGCGAAGCUCUUGAUCGAAGCCCCGGUAAACGGCGGCCGUAACUAUAACGGUCCUAAGGUAGCGAAAUUCCUUGUCGGGUAAGUUCCGACCUGCACGAAUGGCGUAAUGAUGGCCAGGCUGUCUCCACCCGAGACUCAGUGAAAUUGAACUCGCUGUGAAGAUGCAGUGUACCCGCGGCAAGACGGAAAGACCCCGUGAACCUUUACUAUAGCUUGACACUGAACAUUGAGCCUUGAUGUGUAGGAUAGGUGGGAGGCUUUGAAGUGUGGACGCCAGUCUGCAUGGAGCCGACCUUGAAAUACCACCCUUUAAUGUUUGAUGUUCUAACGUUGACCCGUGAUCCGGGUUGCGGACAGUGUCUGGUGGGUAGUUUGACUGGGGCGGUCUCCUCCUAAAGAGUAACGGAGGAGCACGAAGGUUGGCUAAUCCUGGUCGGACAUCAGGAGGUUAGUGCAAUGGCAUAAGCCAGCUUGACUGCGAGCGUGACGGCGCGAGCAGGUGCGAAAGCAGGUCAUAGUGAUCCGGUGGUUCUGAAUGGAAGGGCCAUCGCUCAACGGAUAAAAGGUACUCCGGGGAUAACAGGCUGAUACCGCCCAAGAGUUCAUAUCGACGGCGGUGUUUGGCACCUCGAUGUCGGCUCAUCACAUCCUGGGGCUGAAGUAGGUCCCAAGGGUAUGGCUGUUCGCCAUUUAAAGUGGUACGCGAGCUGGGUUUAGAACGUCGUGAGACAGUUCGGUCCCUAUCUGCCGUGGGCGCUGGAGAACUGAGGGGGGCUGCUCCUAGUACGAGAGGACCGGAGUGGACGCAUCACUGGUGUUCGGGUUGUCAUGCCAAUGGCACUGCCCGGUAGCUAAAUGCGGAAGAGAUAAGUGCUGAAAGCAUCUAAGCACGAAACUUGCCCCGAGAUGAGUUCUCCCUGACUCCUUGA